UCGAGGAUCUUCGGCAAUGGGCGCAAGCCUGACCGAGCGACGCCGCGUGCGCGAUGAAGGCCUUCGGGUUGUAAAGCGCUGUCGAGGGGGAGGAAAGCCCGUAAGGGUCUGACCUAUCCCUGGAGGAAGCACGGGCUAAGUUCGUGCCAGCAGCCGCGGUAAGACGAACCGUGCGAACGUUGUUCGGAAUCACUGGGCUUAAAGGGCGCGUAGGCGGGCGACCAAGUCAGGGUGAAAUCUUUCGGCUUAACCGGAAAACAGCUUCUGAUACUGGUCGUCUGGAGGGAGGUAGGGGCAUGUGGAACUUCUGGUGGAGCGGUGAAAUGCGUAGAUAUCAGAAGGAACGCCGGUGGCGAAAGCGACGUGCUGGACCUUCUCUGACGCUGAGGCGCGAAAGCUAGGGGAGCAAACGGGAUUAGAUACCCCCGGUAGUCCUAGCCCUAAACGACUGGGUACUAGAUUGUGGACUUAACAUGGGUUCACAGUCGAAGCAAAAGUGUUAAGUACCCCGCCUGGGGAGUAG
rnacentral:rRNA from 1 species